rnacentral:SRP_RNA from 1 species
GCUGGGCGUGGUGGCGAACGCUUGUAAUCUCAGCUACUUGGGAGACUGAGACAGGAGAAUCUCUUGAACCUGGGAGGUAGAGGUUGCAGUGAGCUGAAAUUGCACCAUUGUACUCCAGCCUGGAAAGCAAGUGUGAAAUUCCGUCUCAAAAAAAAAGUUUGUUUAUUUAUUUAUUUUUGUUUUGUUUUGAGAUGGAGUCUCACUCCUGUUGCCCAGGCUGGAGUGCAAUGGCGCGAUCUCGGCUCACUGCAACCUCUGCCUCCCAGGUUCAAGCGAUUCUCCUGCCUCAG